rnacentral:rRNA from 1 species
AUUGAACGCUGGCGGCAGGCCUAACACAUGCAAGUCGAGCGAGCGGCGGACGGGUGAGUAAUGUAUGGGGACUGCCCGAUAGAGGGGGAUAACUACUGGAAACGGUGGCUAAUACCGCAUACUAUCGGAUAACCCAUAUGGGAUUAGCUAGUAGGUGGGGUAAAGGCUCACCUAGGCGACGAUCGCUAGCUGGUCUGAGAGGAUGAUCAGCCAAAUUGGGACUGAGACACGGCCCAGACUCCUACGGAGGCAGCAGUGGGGAAUAUUGGACAAUGGACGAAAGCCUUAUGCAGCAAGGCCGCGUGUGUGAAGAAGGUUUUCGGGUUGUAAAGUACUUUUAUCGGGGAGGCGGUACCCAAAGAGGAAGCACCGGCUAACUCCGUGCCAGCAGCCGCGGUAAUUC